rnacentral:rRNA from 1 species
AAUGCGAGUCGAACGAGAACGGGAUAUAGCUUGCUAUAUUUGUCAGCUAAGUUUGCGCACGGGUGAGUAAUGUAUAGAUAACCUGCCCUCUAGAAAGGAAUAACAGUUGGAAACGACUGCUAAUGCCCUAUAUGCCUUUAAUACAUAAGUAUGCAAGGGAAACGCUUUAGUGCUAGAGGAUGGGUCUGUAUGGUAUCAGCUUGUUGGUGAGGUAAUGGCUCACCAAGGCUAUGACGCCUAACUGGUUUGAGAGGAUGAUCAGUCACACUGGAACUGAGACACGGUCCAGACUCCCACGGGAGGCAGCAGUGGGGAAUAUUGCACAAUGGACGAAAGUCUGAUGCAGCAACGCCGCGUGGAGGAUGACACAUUUCGGUGCGUAAACUCCUUUUAUAUAGGAAGAUAAUGACGGUACUAUAUGAAUAAGCACCGGCUAACUCCGUGCCAGCAGCCGCGGUAAUACGGAGGGUGCAAGCGUUACUCGGAAUCACUGGGCGUAAAGAGCGUGUAGGCGGGUAUAUAAGUCAGAAGUGAAAUCCUAUAGCUUAACUAUAGAACUGCUUUUGAAACUGUAUACCUAGAAUGUGGGAGAGGUAGAUGGAAUUCUGGUGGUAGGGGUAAAAUCCGUAGAGAUCAGAAGGAAUACCCGAUUGCGAAGGCGAUCUACUGGAACAUUAUUGACGCUGAGACGCGAAAGCGUGGGGAGCAACCAGGAUUAGAUACCCCUGCUAGUCCACGCCCUACACGAUGUACACCUAGUUGUUGUGAGGCUCG